rnacentral:rRNA from 1 species
UAGGGAAUAUUAGUAAUGGGCGAAAGCCUGAACUAGCAACGCCGCGUGUGCGAAGAAGGCCUUCGGGUUGUAAAGCACUUUUUGAGAGGAUGAGGAAGGACGGUACUCUCAGAAUAAGUCUCGGCUAACUACGUGCCAGCAGCCGCGGUAACACGUAGGAGGCAAACGUUAUCCGGAUUUACUGGGCGUGAAGCGCGUGUAGGUGGUUUGGUAAGUAGGGCGUGAAAGCUCCUGGCUCAACUGGGAGAGGCCGUUCUAAACUGCCGAACUAGAGGAUGGUAGAGGGAGGUGGAAUUCCGGGUGUAGCGGUGGAACGCGCAGAUAUCCGGAGGAACACCAGUGGCGAAAGCGGCCUCCUGGACCAUUCCUGACACUCAGACGCGAAAGCUAGGGUAGCAAACGG